CGUGUGCGACCAGAGAAGAGAUAUUUUCAUAUCCCUUCUCAAAUCAAAAAAAUCCACAAAAAUUCAUGUGGAUAAAGGAUUCAAUCCUAAUCUUAGAUCACCUAAUAAGGAGACAAAAAAAAAUUCCAUGAAAAGAAGUGAUCUUCACACCUUUUCAUGUGAGUGCUGAUCAUCGUGAGUGCGCAUGUGAGGAAGAUUCCAGC
rnacentral:lncRNA from 1 species